GCGAACCGGGGCGCACGGCGGGGGCGGGACUUCCGUCUGGCGCCGCCUGAGGAGGGAUCGGCUGCAGGCAGAGACGCGGGUGGCCAGCGAUGGCCGCGGAGGGGGCGGACUGGGGCCUGGCCCACGGAGGCCGAUGGAUGGCGGUGGCCGAAGGGCCAUGCCACUUGUCGAGGGCAUGCUGUGGGUCUCGCGCCUGUCUGUCCCGCCGCCGCCGCCGCCGCGGCCGCCGUCACCACCCUGCGAGGUAGGAACGCCCAUCUGAAGUUAGACUGGCUACGUUUCAAGGGCUCAACAGCCACAACUGAUAGCAGCUACCACAUCGGACCAUGCAGAGCUAGAUGGGGAGGCAGGAAAGAAAUCAAGUGGAUUCCACACCAAGUGGUGAAAAGUGAAUCUCAUCUAGGAUACCACAUUACAUUUAGUUGUCUUCUCUCUCUAAAAAGAGAUAUAAUUGACAUACAAUAUUGCAUUAGUUUUAUAUAUACAACAUAAUGAUUUGAUACAUGUAUAUAUUGCAAAAUGAUCACAAUAAGUUUGGUUAAUGAUUAACCUCCAUCACCACACAUAGUUACAAUUUUUUUUUCCCUUGUGAUGAGAACUUUUUAAGAUCUAUUCUUGGGACUUCCCUGGAGGUCCAGUGGUUAAGAAUCCGGGCAGUGGGCAUGGGUUCGAUCCCUGGUCGGGGAACUAAAACCCCACAUACCGCAUGGUGCGGCCAAAAAACCAAAAAAAUCCCUUUUAAAAAAAAAAAUUUAUCUAUCUGGCUGCACUGGGUCUGAGUUGCGGCACGCGGCAUCUUCACUGCAGCUUGCAGCAUGCAGGAUCUAGCUCCCUGACCAGGGAUCGAACCCGGACCGCCUGCAUUGGGAGUGCGGAGUCUUAACUGCUGGACCACCAGGGAAGUCCCAAAAUCUAUUCUCUUAGUUGUCCUGUCUCUUUAGGCUCCUCUUGGCUUUGUCAGGUUCUCCAACUUUCCUCGUUUUUGAUGGUCUUGAUGGUUCUGAGAAGGGCUGGUCAAAUAUUUGGUAGGGGCUUCCCUGGUGGUGCAGUGGUUGAGAGUCCGCCUGCCGAUACAGGGGACACGGGUUCGUGCCCCGGUCCGGGAAGAUCCCACAUGCCGCAGAGCAGCUGGGCCUGUGAGCCAUGGCUGCUGAGCCUGCGCAUCCGGAGCCUGUGCUCCGCAACGGGAGAGGCCACAGCAGGGAGAGGCCCGCGUACCGCAAAAAAAAAUAUUUGGUAGGAUGUCCCUCUAUUGGCAUUUGUCUGGUAUUUUUCCGUGGUAAUACUGGGAUGAUGGGUUUGAGGGAGGAAGACCAAAGAGGUAAAGUGCUAUCCUUAUUACAUCCUAUCAAGGAUACAUACUAUCAGCUUUAUUUAUGCAUGUUGAUAUUGGCUUUCAUCACCUGGCAGAGUUAGUAUUUGUCAGGUUUCUCCACUAUAAAGUCACUUUUCCCCCCUUUCCUUUGGAAGGUAGUCACUAUGUGCAGCCCACACGGAGAGUGGAGAUGUCUGUUCCCCUUCUCAAGGGUGGAUAUCUACUUAAGUUAUAUGGAAUUCUUCUGCAUGAAAGACUUACCUCUUCUUCCCCCCAUUUAUUAGUUUAUCCAAUCUUUUUUUUUUUUUCUUUUGCCGCGCUGCGCAGCUCGUGGGAUCCUAGUUCCCCAACCAGGGAACGAAUUCCAGCCCUUGGCAGUAAAAGCACUGAGUGCUGAGUCCUAACCACUGGACUUCCAAGGAAGUCCCCAGGUUAUUCUUGUUAUCUCUCUCAGCACAUGCUCUGAGGGUCCGUGAGAUCAGGAGACAGAAAGAUGACUCAGCUUGGGUUCCUGCUCUCGAGGACAUCACUGCUGCAAUGGAGAAGAGGACGUGUAGACACAUAAACCCAGUUAGUGUGAUGAGGGCCAGGCACAGAGCACCACCUCUCAUGAGGGCAGCGUCUGGGCCAGAGGACAGCAGGAGCAAGGGUCUACCAGCCAGAGGAUGUGGGAAGUGGGGCUUCCAGAUAGAGGGACCAGCCAGAGCAAAGGCACAGCUUUUGUUCCCGAGCGUGGUUCAGGAGCAGGGAGUGGUGGGACACGCCAAAUGCAGGUCAUGAGGAAAGAGGAUGGUGAGAUGGGACUGGAGAGGUGUCUGUCUCCAGCUGCAAAGGGCCCUAGAGAGUCAGGCAGGGAAGGUGGGAUUUUAUCCAUCAGACCAGGAGCCGGCAGACUACAGCCCGAUUCCACCCAUGGCUCUUCUUUUGUACCGCCUGUGAGCUACAAACGAGUUUUACAUUUUUUUAUUUUUUAAUAAAUUUGUUUAUUUUAUUUAUUCAUUUUUGGCUGUGUUGGGUCUUUGUUGCCGCACCCAGGCUUUCUCUAGAUGCGCAGAACGGGGGCUACUCUUUGUUGUGGUGGGCGUGUUUCUCAUUGCGGUGGCUUCUCUUGUUGCAGAGCACGGGCUCUAGGCGUGCAGGCUUCAGUAGUUGUGGCAUGAGGGCUGAGUAGUUGUGGCUCACGGGCUCUAGAGCGCAGGCUCAGUAGUUGUGGCGCACGGGCUUAGUUGCUCUGCGGCAUGUGGGAUCUUCCCUGACCAGGGAUCAAACCCGUGUCCCCUGCAUUGGCAGGCAGAUUCUUAACCACUGUGCCACCCGGGAAGUCCCUACAUUUUUAAAUGGCUGGAAAAAAACAAAAGAAGAAUAGCAUUUUGUGACACGGGAAAAUUACAUGACGUGCAGUUUCAGCAUCCAUCAAGUUUGAUGGUAACACGGCUGCACCUGUCGUCCAUGUGUUGCUGGUGGCUGCUUUCAGGCUGCAGGAGCAGAGGUGGACUUGCUCAGGCAGGGCCCGCUUUCUGGCUACGUAAACGAUGCAGUGACACAGGGCCUUGCACUUCUGCUGUCACUGUUCUGAAAUUCUUAAUCUAUGAAUGAGGAGCCCCAUGUUUUUAUCUUGCACCAGGCUCUAUAAAUUGUGUAGCCAAUCUUGGCAACAGAGAUCAGAUGGCCCACAAAGCCUAAAAUAUUUACCCUGGGGCCCUUUUCAGAAAAAGUAGGUUGGUCUUGCUGUGGUGGGCAGAAUAACUGCCCCACAAGCGGUCCAUGUCCUGGUCUCCUGGACCUGUGAAGGUGUUCCCUGACCUGGCAAGAGGGACUUUGCACAUGGGAUUAAGGAUCUGGAGAUGGGCAGGUGACCCUGGAUUAUCUGUAUGAGACCAGUGUCAUCACAAGGGUCCUUAUCAGAGGGAGGCAGGAGGGGCAGAGAAGGAGAUGCAGCAGUACUAUAAGCAGUGAUGCCAUUGACAUCUUUGAAGAUGGAGGACGUGGCCAUGAGCCAAAGAAUGCAGGCAGCCUGUAGAAGCCAGAAAAGGCAGGGAAACAGAUUCUCUCCUAGCACCUCCAGGAGGACCGCAGACCCACCGGCACCUUGAUUUUAGCCCGGUAAGACUAACUUUGGACUUCUGACCUCCAGGACUGUAAGAUAAUAAAUGUGUCUUGUUUUAAGCCA